ensembl:antisense A930019D19Rik RIKEN cDNA A930019D19 gene
GGCUUCCCAAGCAAGUGCCUGCCUCUCUCUCUUAUCUCCCAACAAAGCUCCAAGAGGCACGGCCUGAAGCCAGCGAUGUUAAACAAUGACGCAUGGCUGAUUUUAUUUGUAACAAGGAUUCUCAUCUCAAUCUAAGGACACAAGGAACUGAUACUUCAAGUAAGAGCUGGUGAUGUAGUGGUGAGCACUUUCAACAAAGGUUCUGUGGUGGUUGACUGUUCAGCAUUUCCAUCAUCUGUCCUGUGCUGGUUGCUUUUUUUUUUUUUUUUAAUAUUUGGAACCUGUGUUGCUCAACCCAUUUCUACAUUCUCCAAGUCUGGACAUGCAUGAUAUUCACGCUGGCCUGAGGGGAAGACUGCCUCUUGAUAUUGGGUUCUCCUGGAGCACCUUACCACCAACACGUGAGAAAAUGCCCAAGACCCAUCCAUCAAAGUCUCACUGCAGUAAAAGUGUAACUGACAAGAAAAUUAGUCAUUCUGCAAAUUUCAGUUCUUGAGAAAGUGCUGUCAAAUCAGGUGAGAAAUGACUCAACAGGCUACUUGGCUGAUGAAACCCAUCGGAGAAAAAAGGGAUCAGUUGGAAUGAUUGAUGUCUGAGAGUUCUGGGUGUUCCUGCCAAUGGCUUGAUUUCUGGGAGGAAGGAGUCAGCGACAUUUGGAUGGUUUCCCUUUCACAGGCUUCACUCAUCCCAAAGAUCUAUGGUAGAAGCUAAACAUGUACUUUAGACUGUAAUCACAGCAGUGACCACUGGGACUCAUCUGUUGACAUUUCAUAUUCAUGAAGUGUUGACUAAGAGGAAGACAAUUAGAGAUGUUCAGCACCUGAAAAUGCCUUGAGUCCAGUUUAUGGCAAAGCCUCAAAGAGGAGAUGAUUAAAUAGGAAUACAUGUGGACUUCUAGCUCUAUCAUCAGCUUGCUACGUGAAAAAUUAUUAAAUAAAAUACACUCUAAGUAUUAUCU